rnacentral:lncRNA from 1 species
AUGCCGCCAAAGUUUGACCCCAACGAGAUCAAAGUUGUAUACCUGAGGUGCACUGGAGGUGAAGUCGGUGCCACUUCUGCCCUGGCCCCCAAGAUCGGCCCCCUGGGUCUGUCUCCAAAAAAGGUUGGUGAUGACAUUGCCAAGGCAACGGGUGACUGGAAGGGCCUGAGGAUUACAGUGAAACUAACCACUCAGAACAGACAGGCCCAGAUUGAGGUGGUGCCUUCUGCCUCUGCUCUGAUCAUCAAAGCCCUCAAAGAACCACCGAGAGAGAAAGAAACAGAAAAACAUUAAACACAGUGGGAAUAUCACUUUUGAUGAGAUCGUCAACAUUGCUCAACAGAUGCGGCACUGAUCCUUAGCCAGAGAACUCUCUGGAACCAUUAAAGAGAUCCUGGGGACUGCCCAGUCUGUGGGCUGUAAUGUUGAUGGCCAGCACCCUCAUGACAUCAUAGAUGACAUCAACAGUGGUGCUGUGGAAUGCCCAGCUAGUUAA